rnacentral:rRNA from 1 species
CUACGGGGGGCUGCAGUGGGGAAUUUUGCGCAAUGGGCGAAAGCCUGACGCAGCAAUACCGCGUGAGUGAAGAAGGCCUUUGGGUCGUAAAGCUCUUUUCUGAGGGAAGAUAGUGACGGUACCUCAGGAAUAAGCACCGGCUAACUCCGUGCCAGCAGCCGCGGUAAUACGGAGGGUGCAGGCGUUGUUCGGAUUUACUGGGCGUAAAGGGCACGUAGGCGGCAUAGUAAGUUAAGGGUGAAAUCCCGGGGCUCAACUCCGGAACUGCUCUUAAAACUGCUAAGCUAGAGAUAGUCAGAGGCGGGUAGAAUUCCUGGUGUAGAGGUGAAAUUCGUAGAUAUCAGGAGGAAUACCGGUGGCGAAGGCGGCCCGCUGGGGCUAUUCUGACGCUAAGGUGCGAAAGCGUGGGGAGCGAACGGGAUUAGAUACCCUGGUAGUC